rnacentral:rRNA from 1 species
AUGGGCGAGAGAGUUUGUGCCGGCGGUCUCAUCAGAGUUUAUAAGGGCGAAAGGCGGAGCGAGGUUCGGCCGCUGCCGCGUCGUGGGCAAAUAAAGCUGAGGAUGGCACACAUCGUGAUGCACUCCCCACUGAAGUAGCAGGACUACGUCGCAACUACCUGUUCUGGAUCACAAGUGAAUGUCAGUGACUCUGUACAUGUUAGGAUUUGUUGUAAACCGUCCCCCCNNNNNCACAUCAUGGUGUGGGCUUCAUAG